rnacentral:tmRNA from 1 species
GGGGGCGACUAGUUUCGACGGGGGUUGAUGGUCGAAGGAUGCGUUGCCGAGCUCCACUGACUCGUAAAACCGGUGGAAAAACACAACUGCGGACACGCAGCUCGCUCUCGCAGCUUAAUAACCUGUGAGCGUUCGCCCCGGUCAACCUGCGGGCCGGGGGCCGAAUGUCAUUCAGCAGGCUGGUCGUCGCCGGCUGUCUCGGACGGCGACGAUGAGAUUUUUCGGGGCUGGUCUCUGGCGGUUUCCGUCGCUCCUUCACGCCGGGGAUGAAAAUUCAGGAGCGGCUAUGCAACGUAGCAUGCCUUCGGUUUUACGCCUUCGGACGGGGGUGCGAAUCCCCCCGCCUCCACCA